rnacentral:rRNA from 1 species
GCGGAGGAAAAGAAACCAACUGGGAUUACCUUAGUAACGGCGAGUGAAGCGGUAAAAGCUCAAAUUUGAAAUCUGGUACUUUCAGUGCCCGAGUUGUAAUUUGUAGAAUUUGUCUUUGAUUAGGUCCUUGUCUAUGUUCCUUGGAACAGGACGUCAUAGAGGGUGAGAAUCCCGUUUGGCGAGGAUACCUUUUCUCUGUAAGACUUUUUCGAAGAGUCGAGUUGUUUGGGAAUGCAGCUCAAAGUGGGUGGUAAAUUCCAUCUAAAGCUAAAUAUUGGCGAGAGACCGAUAGCGAACAAGUACAGUGAUGGAAAGAUGAAAAGAACUUUGAAAAGAGAGUGAAAAAGUACGUGAAAUUGUUGAAAGGGAAGGGCAUUUGAUCAGACAUGGUGUUUUUUGCAUGCACUCGCCUCUCGUGGGCUUGGGCCUCUCAAAAAUUUCACUGGGCCAACAUCAAUUCUGGCAGCAGGAUAAAUCAUUAAGAAUGUAGCUACUUCGGUAGUGUUAUAGCUUUUUGGAAUACUGUUAGCCGGGAUUGAGGACUGCGC